rnacentral:rRNA from 1 species
UACGGAGGGGGCUAGCGUUGUUCGGAAUUACUGGGCGUAAAGCGCACGUAGGCGGCUUUGUAAGUUAGAGGUGAAAGCCCAGGGCUUAACCCUGGAAUUGCCUUUAAGAUACUGCAUCGCUAGAAUCGUGGAGAGGUGAGUGGAAUUCCGAGUGUAGAGGUGAAAUUCGUAGAUAUCAGGAGGAACACCUGUGGCGAAAGCGGCUCACUGGACCAUAACUGACGCUGAUGCACGAAAGCUAGGGGAGCAAACAGG